rnacentral:rRNA from 1 species
GGCCCGCAAGGGUCAUUCGAGCGGCGAACGGGUGAGUAACGCGUGGAUAACCUGCCCAGAGGUGGGGGAUAACCCGGGGAAACUCGGGCUAAUACCGCAUAUGACCGUGAGGUCAAAGGGGGCUCGCAAGGGCUCUCGCCAUUGGAGGGGUCCGCGUCCGAUUAGCUAGUUGGUAGGGUAAUGGCCUACCAAGGCGACGAUCGGUAGCCGGCCUGAGAGGGUGAUCGGCCACACUGGAACUGAGACACGGUCCAGACUCCUACGGGAGGCAGCAGUGGGGAAUUUUGCGCAAUGGGCUAACGCCUGACGCAGCAACGCCGCGUGGAGGAUGAAGGUCUUUGGAUUGUAAACUCCUGUCAGCAGGGAAAAAGCGAAUCGGCCUAACACGCCGGUGAGUUGAUUGUACCUGCAGAGGAAGCCCCGGCUAACUCUGUGCCAGCAGCCGCGGUAAUACAGAGGGGGCAAGCGUUAUUCGGAAUUAUUGGGCGUAAAGGGCGCGUAGGCGGCUUGGCAAGUGGAUGGUGAAAUCCCUCGGCUUAACCGAGGAGCUGCCGUCCAAACUGCUUUGCUUGAGGCCGGGAGAGGCGAGUGGAAUUCCCAGUGUAGCGGUGAAAUGCGUAGAUAUUGGGAGGAACACCAGUGGCGAAGGCGGCUCGCUGGACCGGUUCUGACGCUGAUGCGCGAAAGCGUGGGGAGCAAACGGGAUUAGAUACCCCGGUAGUCCACGCUGUAAACGAUGAGUGCUUGGUGUAGCGGGUAUCGACCCCUGCUGUG